rnacentral:rRNA from 1 species
AUCGAACGCUGGCGGCAGGCCUAACACAUGCAAGUCGAGCGGAGCGGCGGACGGGUGUGUAAUGUCUAUGAAUCUGCCUGGUAGUGGGGGAUACCGUACGGAAACGGGCGCUAAUACCGCAUACUAUCAGAUGAGCCUAGGUCGGAUUCGCCAGUUGGUGGGGUAAAGGCCUACCAAGGGGACGAUCCGUAACUGGUCGGUGAGGAUGAUCCGUCGCACUGGAACUGAAACACGGUCCAGACUCCUACGUGAGGGAGCAGGGGGGAACAGGGGACAAGGGGCGAAAGCAGGAUCCAGCGAUGCAGCGUGUGUGAAAGAGGCCUUCGGUUUGUAAAGCACGUUAAGUGGGGAUGCGGUACCGACAGAAUAAGCACCGGCUAACUACGUGCCAGCAGCCGCGGUAAUUC